rnacentral:tRNA from 1 species
GCUCUACUAGUUUAAUGGUUAUAAUUUUAGACUAUAAAUCUAGAGGUUUUGGGUUUGAAUCCUAGCUAGAGCA